UAACCUCGUAUACGCGUCUUUUCUCACAGUCUCCGCGGAGACAAAUGCCUUGGCUAUCAGUCGAUUCUUUCGCGUACGAAGAACGGGUUCAAGUAUAAUAACCAGGAAUUAAAGAGCAUGUUUGCGCGAAACCUUAGACUCAAGACGGCAGCAGUGUGGAGAAAUACGAGGAUAUAGUAGCCGAAGGGGGAGAGUCACGCGCGUAAUGCUACACACAGAGCCAGCAGCGCAGCGUUUAUCCAGCUCUUCGGUCCAUAGAUCAAUGGCUGGCAAUUAUUUUUAUUGCGGAUGGACUCCCGGGCUGCGCCAUGCGCAUACAUGCACAUCGCACGCGCCGCUGCAAUAAGCGACGACGGCAGAAGACGAGAUUUUCACGCGGGGCAUCCCACGGACUACUCGGACACGAGUUUACAUUCCGAAAGUGAAACUCAACGCCGCCGCGCUUGAUAGUGCAAGUUGAAAUUGUUCCGGCUGCAUCAGUGGCAGUAGUCCAUCGGUUACGCCGGGUAUUAUUGUUUUUCGAGAGAUAGGUAUAAGUUCAUUGGUAAAAUUUGUAAGAUCGCACCCGAUGACAGGAAAACAAAGAUAUAAAUAAUGAGGAGAGUCCGUAGAGCGUGCAAA
rnacentral:lncRNA from 12 species